AGAACGAACGCUGGCGGCAUGCCUAACACAUGCAAGUCGAACGAAGGCUUCGGCCUUAGUGGCGCACGGGUGAGUAACGCGUGGGAAUCUGCCUAGCAGUGGGGAAUAACGAUGGGAAACUGUCGCUAAUACCGCAUACGCCCUUCGGGGGAAAGAUUUAUUGCUGUUAGAUGAGCCCGCGUCCGAUUAGGUAGUUGGUGGGGUAAAGGCCUACCAAGCCUUCGAUCGGUAGCUGGUCUGAGAGGAUGAUCAGCCACACUGGGACUGAGACACGGCCCAGACUCCUACGGGAGGCAGCAGUGGGGAAUAUUGGACAAUGGGGGAAACCCUGAUCCAGCAAUGCCGCGUGAGUGAUGAAGGCCUUAGGGUUGUAAAGCUCUUUCGGGUGGGACGAUGAUGACGGUACCACCAGAAGAAGCCCCGGCUAACUUCGUGCCAGCAGCCGCGGUAAUACGAAGGGGGCUAGCGUUGUUCGGAAUUACUGGGCGUAAAGCGCACGCAGGCGGCUCGUUAAAUUAGAAGUGAAAGCCCUGGGCUCAACCCGGGAAUUGCUUUUAAGACUGGCGAGCUAGAAUUCGGAAGAGGGCAGUGGAAUUCCAAGUGUAGAGGUGAAAUUCGUAGAUAUUUUGGAAGAACACCAGUGGCGAAGGCGACUGCCUGGUCCGAGAUUGACGCUCAUGUGCGAAAGCGUGGGGAGCAAACAGGAUUAGAUACCCUGGUAGUCCACGCUGUAAACGAUGAGUGCUAGUUGUUGGGGUACAUGUACUUCAGUGACGCAGCUAACGCAUUAAGCACUCCGCCUGGGGAGUACGGCCGCAAGGUUAAA
rnacentral:rRNA from 1 species